rnacentral:lncRNA from 1 species
AGUACUCAAACAUUUGGCUUGAUCUAUUUCUCGGUUCGUGAGGUAGCAGACAAGAUUUAGAGAUUAAGCAUGGGUUAGAAAAAAGAAUAGACAAAGAUAAAAGAAAGUAGCUAGAGUUUUCCACCGACAUACUUGAGAAAGGAGAGAAGGUGAAGGUACCGAUGCUCUGUUUCGUUGCACAGCCAGAGAAAAAGAUUUAGCAAGAAAAAAAUAUAGAAAAAUGCUGGGGCCCACCAAGGGUCAGAGAU